rnacentral:rRNA from 1 species
UACGUAGGGGGGCUAGCGUUGUCCGGAAUCAUUGGGCGUAAAGCGCGUGUAGGCGGUUCGGUAAGUCCGCUGUGAAAGUCGGGGGCUCAACCCUCGAAUGCCGGUGGAUACUGUCGGACUAGAGUACGGAAGAGGCGAGUGGAAUUCCUGGUGUAGCGGUGAAAUGCGCAGAUAUCAGGAGGAACACCAAUUGCGAAGGCAGCUCGCUGGGACGUUACUGACGUUGAGACGCGAAAGCGUGGGGAGCAAACAGG